UUCCAUCUUGUUCUUCUGGGAUUCUUUUCCCCGCAUUCUCUUCUUACAGCGCCGCCGCUUCGGCUUCGGCUCCCAAUGUCUCUCUGGCCCUCUGCUACGAGAAAUCGUGCCGUAAUAUUGCCAACAUCGUCGUCAAUUACCUCGGCGAGAUUGACGCCGACCGCCUCCUCUCCAUCGUCGGCAACGCCAGGAGCCGGAACGGCACCAUAUCCUGCUGGGUACUCCCGUCUAUUCCUUUCUCUGACCAACUCGAAGUGGUCGCCACCCUUAGAAAGGUCGUGAGGAUGAUUUUUUCUGCCUUUGAUGGGGGUGUAGAAUAUAAAAAAGGAGGGUUCUUGCAAUAAAACGGAUCUUGUUCUCUUGCGUCGUUGUCCCAAUGAGUGCUUAUACGCCUAUAAUGCUCGGCCCUAUUUGUUAGUAUUCUCUCUACAGUCGUUCCUCUCUUCACAGAUUGGAUCCAGUUAUGCUCUUUCAAGCUUAGUUGUUUAACAUCCUUAGUUGUGAAUAGAUAUGGGUAAAAAUUUCAGCUUAAUUGGGGAACAUCUGAAAGAUCAAAAAAUUAAGCUCUUAUCUUUACAAUGGCAUCAUAUAAACUCUUUGGUUUGUGCCAAAAGACUCGAAUGUCAUAGGCUUCAUCAUCAAGAGGACGUAAAUGUAGUUGUGUACAUAAAUUUUAUUAAGAUAACUUGUAGAUGAGCUGCAUGUUAUAAUUGGUCAAACAUGAAUUCUAGCAAAAAUGCACGCUAUUGUUUACGUGGCAGCAGGUUUCAUCAAUAUUGUUGUCUAAUUAUCAUGGACUUAGCUGGUUUUGCCUAAGUCGUACGGUACCCUUGCGUGCCCGUCCGCAAAGGUCAGCCUCCCCAAAACCUCCUAUAGUCCCUUAGGAUCUACAAAAGAGAAAACAGGUUAGAGAAAGCGCCUCACUCGAGAUCCACAAGCAAAGAUUCCAGGAAACACUUCAUAGACAAUGCAAAUUACAAACAGACUUUACAAGCUCUGAACAGUUGCACAACAAAGGGUCAAAAUGGUCCACUAUAGAUCGAAUAUCUCUCACAAGUGUCUACAUGACACAAUCUUUAUUUACAAGCCUAAGAAGGCCACCAAACCCAACUAAAAUGAGGCUUUUAAGUCUUCGACCGUCCCUCUACAUGAUGUGCAAAGCAUGAACAAACCAAAAGACACGGACAUAUAUAAGUAUUACAUCAAACAUCCUGUUUAGAACUUUGUCCGUGACAUAAUGGUUCCUUCAUGGAUCCACGAGUACAAUAUUCAGAAAGGCAGAGGUAAGAAGGUGAUAUGAACACACCUCACGUAAUCCAUAUGAUGUAUCUUGACAUAUCUUUACAUGCUCGGAUGUGUAGUUACACCAACUAUUGGAAAUGUCCUCUGCUUUCUCAUUUCCGCCUGUUGAAGUGCCUGAUUAUAUUAAAAAUAAACUAAUUUCCAAUCAUAUCUUGUACACAGCAUAUGCUGCAGUAUGACUACUGAAUCUGCACAUCUUAAUCCAAUUCUUACUACUGUUUCAGCAUAAUGCUUUAUCAACCUAAUGGAGGACACCCUUUGUGCCAUAGUAUAGUUGCCCAUGUUUUGGGCUGGUAUCAGGGGUCUACAUUAGCAAAAGUCAGGCAGCAUUGCAUGUUCCGCUACCAGGUUUUUACAUUCUUAAGGUCAUAGCUAAUUCAAGGGAUCUUGACAUGCAUGAUGUGGAAUUCGUUUAGCUGAAUCUGUGUGUGUUACAUAGUGCAAAUCACUUGAAGAGUGAUCUUUCAUUACAUCUCCCAGAAGCUAUUAUUUUCUUUCAACUUUUGCAGAAGAACAUUUCAGCAUCAUCUACUCAGUUGAGAGCCUGGUUUUGAAACAUAACUACCUUCACUGGAAAUCCUGGUUUUCAGAAACUGGAUUUAGUUCACAUGCAGAUAGUGGACAUGGGGAAGAGUUCUCGUCCAACUACUUUAUCAUAUGUAUGACAUAUAGUAAUAAGUUUGUAAUAUAAACCUGCAAAUGUAUUUUGAAAUUUUAUGGGAAAAAAAUCAAGUCAGUUUUGAUGCUGUCUGCAGCAAAUUUUCUUCUGAUUCUAUUGAUUCUAUAUCUUCAGCUAAAGUAAUCUUGUUACUAUAGCUUGAUGAAAUGUAAUGUAAAUCUCUUUUUUUUUCUCUCAUACAUUGGAUGUAGUUUCAAUUUCUACAAUACGUAUCAGCAUAUUCUAUAGUUUGUAAUUUCUUAGCACAUACAUAUCAGAUUUUAUUUUGACGAGUCAAUUUACUGAACUUGGUCCCUUCUAUUUUUGCAGCUUGAAUUAACAGUAUGGAGCACAAACAGAUUCUCUGAAGCCCCCUCAGAGAUACAUCUAUUGGGUAGUGGUGGAUGGACAUCCACUUUAUGAGGUUAGUUCUAAUGAUUAGGAACUUCUUCAGUCCUCUUCUGUUGCGUCACUGUGAUGUACAUCAUAACGAAUUGAUUGGCUGAAAUUGGGUUUAAAAGCGGCAAUAUGCACGAGUCCUUAUCAGAAGUUUCCAAGUUACAUAUACUGAAGCAUACAACAUUCUCUUCUAUUCUAAUUUCAGUUGAACAAGUCAAUUUACCAGUUGGUUUAUUCUUGCGUUACUAUUAGGGUAGAUGAUAUGUUCAACUCUUGACCUUUCUGCCUCCUUGAGCUGUGGGGAAGCAGUUGUAUUGCUUGUGCUGAAUUCUGAAGACAUGAUUAUUUGUGAUCCAUUGUUAUUCUAAAAUUUAGAAGAAAUGUAAUUUCUUGAGAAUUUGCUUUCUUGGGAUCCCAAAUUAGUUGCACAAGCAUUGUACGUUGCCAUCUUAAUGUGCAAACCUGAGUAUUCCUUUAAAUAACUUAAGAUCUGAUAUUUUGGUGUUUUGUGUACUUCA
rnacentral:lncRNA from 1 species